rnacentral:misc_RNA from 1 species
GGAAUAAAUGAUUUCAGAAACAAUGGAUUCAGCAAAAGCAAGCAGCUUCAUUCUAGGCUUUUCUUAAUUGCUCCCCAUUUUCAAAUUCAAGCAGUGCAGGCCAUGUAAAGAAUGUCCAGAAAAAUUAUUAUACGGUAUAGAGAAGAAAAGAAUGAAAAAGAUCACAAAAUUUCUUCGUUGUAGACUCUGACCAGACAAAGACAUUGUUGAAAAAAUUUUCCACUUCUUUCCUUUGCUGAAUAACAUCUCAACCAAAACAGAAGUCCUUCCAUCAAGUACCAUUGAAUGUUUCACCUCUAAAGGACAAGACCAAAAUAAAAGAUAAUGAGUCCAUGAGCUUUUAAAAUAACACAGACUCUCCAAUUAGGUUUUGUGGUCAUCGAACAUUCACACUUUAU